CAUGGAAAGAAGACAGUGAACUAGCAGAUGCCUGUGUCACCAAAGGGUAGGCAUUUUCAAAUGUAUAUAUGAAACCCGAGCCGGGAGAGGAAAGGGAAUCGGAGCACAAAAAGAUCAAAAAGGAUGCUGUGAAGGAUGAGUCAAAAGUAACUGCAGCAGAACUGAACAGCCAUCAUCUGUUUGGUGAUGAGAGAGAAAGGGGAAAAGUGAGGGAACAUUUCAGUGGAGUGGCUGAGCUCUGACUUUAUCUGUUUGUAAGCCCAGGGAGAGAAGGCAGCCCCAGUGCUUAGUGCUGGGAUGUGAUGUACGGCGUGCUGUGCUAAGACGCUGCGGAGGUUUCUUUACACUGAACAGCAAGGGGGUGGCUUUGAGCUCUGCUUCUUGUCAGCUGUGAACACUGUGAGCGAUCCUGGUUUAACUCCGCUUUCCUCCUCGCCGUGCUGUCCUUACCACACUCUCAUCCUUAAAAAGAAAAAAAAAAACUCAAAAGGUGCUCCCAGCCACGCGGUGAGUUUGGUUUAGUAGAGCCAAGCUGCGUUCUCCUCUCCACGUGAUGCAUGCAGCUGACAGGUUUGGCAGUUCUCGUGUUGCUUUUCCUUCCUGCAACUGAUGCGCUGUGAAGGAUGAACAUGGAAAUGUAAGCAGGGAGAACAGGAGGCUGGCAGCAUCCUGUCCUCUUCAGAGUGGAAGAGCUGCCUUGGGAAGGAGGAAUUGGACAGAAAUCUGCAAUAACUGGCAAAAUAAAUAAAUCUGAGCAUUAAGGCAGCAGCUAGCCAGCACUGCAUUUUACAUUUGAAGCUACGUCUACCCUGCACAGAGCACAAUAGCACAGAAAGAGUUGAAAUAGCUCUGCAUAAAUAUUGCAUGAAGCCUUAUGCACAAAUGUAUACGAAGCACGGAGCUACCUGCAAGAUCUGGCUGAAAAGCAUGAAGGAAAAUGUGGGCACUCUGUGGUCCCCUAUCUGGAGAGCUGCUGGUACCGGCCUGGGGAGGUAACUGGCAUUGCAACACAGCUCUCAGCACAAACAUGCUCAGAGGGUGCUGCGUGCCAAGCGCCGUGCAGGAGAUGAAGCCAUGGAGCAGGCUUUUAGGCUCUUUGUGACGACGCCCACCACCUACAGUGGAUGAAGCAGGUGCCUCGCACCCCACAACGUAUCCUGUGCUGCAGACAGCGUGGUAGCAGGAAGACAACCUCGUCUGAGAGCUCAGAGCCAGCACACCACAGCCACAGUCUGAGCAGCACAGGGUGAGCAUCUCACUACACCCAUGUCUGAGAGCUGCCCUAUGGCAGGCUACUGUGCUUCCAAACAAACCCCAUCUUGUGCGGGGCUCCCUGAGUGCUUCCUUCUCUCCCCUUCCAUUCCCCACCCCUCAGAACAAGCCCGGAAUGCAGUUUUUGUGCUAUUUGCACUGUAACAUUUUCCUUUUUUUUUUUUAUCUUCACCGUCUGCGUUUUUCCCCCUCC
ensembl:lncRNA